AGGGAGGGAGAAAGAGAGUGUGUAUGUGCAUAUGUGUGCAUGAAAGUGUCAGUGAUGGUUAAAGAAUCCCCUUGUCAGUGUCUGUGUGCAUUUGGGAGCAUCUGCCUCCUUAGUGUGAAAAGGUGUGUUAGCGGCAGUGUCUGGCAGGAUUGAUGGAAAUGGGGGAUAGAUACAUGUGUCUCAGGAUGUGGCUGUCUUAGGGAGCAUGUCUCUUACCUGCAGUAUACCUCAAUCCAGGCCAUACACCCAGACCACUCACUGGUCAAUUCUCACUGGCUUGUCAGCUGAUAUCUCUUUGGGCAGUUUGGUUAUCUGCUUAAGCUGUCUGCCUCUUUCUUACAGGGAAGGGAAGAGCUGGAGAAAGGAGCUGAGCUCUCUUUGUAAUGCUCCCUCUGCUGGCUCUGUGGCAGCACUUCACAAAUCAGAUGCAGAGAGAUUGUACACCCAGGAUUUGACUCCUGUGUACAGGGAUUAUUUCUACUCCUGGAAGCAGACUUCAUCCUGAAUCCUGUCAGAGUUAGAGCAGGAAAGGUACAGAACAACUUGGAGGCCUCUUUUUCUACAUGCUGUAUAUCAAAUGCUAUUUUAGAUUUGUACAGGACUUGUCACCCCAAGGCUCCCAGUGCUCUAUUAUAAACUGCUUGCUGUAGAGCCUGGAGUCAUUUCAUCCAGCACUGAAAUGCAGCCACCUCUGAAGGGGCCAGGACAGUUGUUUAACAACGACACAAAAUUGCCCAACAGUUCAAGUCAGUCCAAGGCCUCAGCAUCCUCAGCGUACUCUGUAUUGUUACUUCUGUUCAGCCAAUCAAACCAGUGUAAUCCCCUCUCAUAUCAGCAUCUCAUUCUUCCUAAACAGUUGUGCAGUUCAGUUCCUAUAAUCAAAUCAAUUUGAUACCCAUUUCCCCCAGCAGCUGGUCCCCUAAAUCAAUGCAUGUCUCCCAUCUCCUGAUAGGCCUCUUUAGCUGCAGCACUGCCAGCAUUUUUUCCAAGCUGGUGAAGGAGAUCCUGGGAUAGGAGAUCUGUCUGGAUUUUCCUCCUCCUCCAUGCUCAGACUACAGCUGGGAGAGGGAGCCCAGAUGAGUUCCCUCAGCUAUUUAGAGGCUGUCCAAGAGUGUCAUCUGGCUACAGAAGUGGCAGAAGGCACCCUCCUCCUCAGCUCUGAACUGCAUCUCCUGCAAACUUGAAAAGGGGCCAUCCCUGCUCAUCCAAACAGCUGGUGACUGGUCAGGAUGCUACCUGCAGUCACACUUGCCCUAUCUUAGGAUCAGCUCUGGCUUGGGUGGCUGUUCUGUGGAUCACUGGGGAAGCCAAGCUAAUAUCUGUCCAUCACAAAAGAGAUGGGCACGAGGCAAACAAAUGGUGCAGAAAUGCACGUGAAGGGAGCCUGGGUGCAGAGUCUAGGCUGAGUUCUAUGCUGAUGGGAUUGUACUGCCCUGCUAGGACUGGUGGCCACCCUGCUGAGUCAGCACCAUCUCUUGGCAAGCCGGGGAGAAUUCAGAAUCUGUUCCGGGAAGCCAAACAAACCUAAUGGAGGCACCAAGUCUGACUCAUCCUAGAGUCAUUCUGUGCUCUGGCUGAGUGGUUAACACAGCUGUUGGUUGGUCCCAUUCCCUGCACUGCACCAGAACCAGUGAGGACUGCCUGUGGUAUCACUGUGGAGAAGUCCCACAGUUGCUGAACAUGUGUUAUUUAAUACCCUUUGGAGACAGUCCUGUGAAAAGUACUAACUUUGCUAUGACAUGAUGGCACUUAGCAUAUGUUUCACUGACUGGAUGCAUGGACGCUGGUGUGUUAAGUGUGCUUAACACAUCCUACAUAUACUGUGCAAAAGCUGUCAUAGAAGGCUGUAGCUGCUGUUUCCCAGAUGAAUAUUAAUGCUGCAGAACACUUCUGUUUGUCCUCUGAAUGAACAAGGGUGAAGAAGUUGGCAGUGAAAGGUGCCACUAUGAUAGAUCUAACCAGGAGCAGCCUGGGUAGACAUGGAGCAAGGUUCUCCUGCUAGUGGGACCACCACACUAUGCCUUGGGCCUCUCCAGUAAGAUAGUCUACUGAAAGGCCAAUCCAUAUCUGAAUCUCUUCUGCUAGGAAAAGGAAUGAGGACUCAUCAUUCAUCUCUCACAAGGAAGUGAACAGCCAGUAGACGAUAAAAAUAUGUUGUUUGCGAUCCUAGCUGCAUUCACACCAAUGAUCCAGAAGGGAAAGGCUCCCUCCUCCUGGUCCUCCGAGCUGCUCUAGUGACUGCUGGGAAAUGACUAAAAGGAGGAUGAAUUACCAGCUGCCUCGCCUUGCACGUUCCUUUGUAUGCAUGAUGCCGUGGCUGCUACACGUGAAUUGUCUCACAUUGUGUUAGAUGAAAUAAACCUGAACGGGCCGAAUGCUUUUUGUGCCAUCUAA